rnacentral:rRNA from 1 species
GACGAACGCUGGCGGCGUGCUUAACACAUGCAAGUCGAACGGAAAGGCCUGCUUUCCCUUGUGGAUUGCGGGUACUCGAGUGGCGAACGGGUGAGUAACACGUGAGUGAUCUGCCCCCAACUUGGGUAUAAGCCUGGGAAACUGGGUCUAAUUCCCGAUAGGACUGCAGGGUGGUGCCUGUGGUGGAAAACGAUUUUCUAGUGGUUGGGGAUGAGCUCGCGGCCUAUCAGCUUGUUGGUGGGGUAAUGGCCUACCAAGGCGGCGACGGGUAGCCGGCCUGGGAGGGUGGACGGCCAAAUUGGGACUGAGAUACGGCCCAGACUCCUACGGGAGGCAGCAGUGGGGAAUAUUGCACAAUGGGCGGAAGCCUGAUGCAGCGACGCCGCGUGGGGGAUGACGGCCUUCGGGUUGUAAACUCCUUUCGACCGCGAGGAAGCCACCUGGUUGGAAGGGUGGUGACGGUAGUGGUAGAAGAAGCACCGGCUAACUACGUG